GAUGAACGCUAGCGGGAGGCCUAAUACAUGCAAGUCGAAGGGGCAGCAGUACAAUACCUAGUAUUGUAGCUGGCGACCGGCGCACGGGUGAGUAACGCGUACGCAACUUACCUCCAAGAGGGGAAUAGCCCUGGGAAACUGGGAUUAAUGCCCCAUAGUUUAUUGACACUGCCUGGUGUUAAUAAUAAAGCUUUGGUGCUUGGAGAUAGGCGUGCGUCCUAUUAGCUAGUUGGCGAGGUAACGGCUCACCAAGGCGAUGAUAGGUAGGGGGCGUGAGAGCGUGACCCCCCACACGGGUACUGAGACACGGACCCGACUCCUACGGGAGGCAGCAGUAAGGAAUAUUGGACAAUGGAGGCAACUCUGAUCCAGCCAUCCCGCGUGCAGGAUGAAUGCCCUUUGGGUUGUAAACUGCUUUUACUAGGGAAGAAAGGUAGUCAUUUAUGAUUAUUUGACGGUACCUAAAGAAUAAGCACCGGCUAACUCCGUGCCAGCAGCCGCGGUAAUACGGAGGGUGCAAGCGUUAUCCGGAUUUACUGGGUUUAAAGGGUGCGUAGGCGGCUUAUUAAGUCAUAGGUGAAAGGCAUCGGCUUAACCGAUGGAUUGCCUGUGAUACUGGUGAGCUUGAAUUGGGUUGAGGUUGGCGGAAUGUGACAUGUAGCGGUGAAAUGCAUAGAUAUGUCAUAGGACAUCGAUUGCGAAGGCAGCUGACUGGACCUUGAUUGACGCUGAGGCACGAAAGCGUGGGUAGCGAACAGGAUUAGAUACCCUGGUAGUCCACGCCCUAAACGAUGCUCACUCGAUAUUUGCUUUACGGAGUAAGUGUCCAAGCGAAAGCGUUAAGUGAGCCACCUGGGGAGUACGUUCGCAAGAAUG
rnacentral:rRNA from 1 species